CCCCUAGAGGAGCCUGUUCUAUAAUCGAUAAUCCACGAUCUACCUCACCAUCUCUUGCCAAUACCGCCUAUAUACCGCCGUCACCAGCCUACCCUAUGAAGGAUAUAAAAGUAGGCAAAAUCGCACAACAGCUAACAAGUCAGGUCAAGGUGUAGCUUACUGAGAUGGAAGAAAUGGGCUACAUUUUCUAAACUAGAAAUCAUUUCACGGAAAGAACUAUGAAACACGUCCUAUAAGCAGGAUUUAGCAGUAAAUAGGGAUCAGAAUGCCCAAUUUAAGCCGGUCCUAAGGUACGC
rnacentral:rRNA from 1 species